rnacentral:rRNA from 1 species
CUCGAUGAGUAGGGCGGGACACGUGGUAUCCUGUCUGAAUAUGGGGGGACCAUCCUCCAAGGCUAAAUACUCCUGACUGACCGAUAGUGAACCAGUACCGUGAGGGAAAGGCGAAAAGAACCCCGGCGAGGGGAGUGAAAAAGAACCUGAAACCGUGUACGUACAAGCAGUGGGAGCACAGAGCAAUCUGUGUGACUGCGUACCUUUUGUAUAAUGGGUCAGCGACUUAUAUUCUGUAGCAAGGUUAACCGAAUAGGGGAGCCGAAGGGAAACCGAGUCUUAACUGGGCGUUAAGUUGCAGGGUAUAGACCCGAAACCCGGUGAUCUAGCCAUGGGCAGGUUGAAGGUUGGGUAACACUAACUGGAGGACCGAACCGACUAAUGUUGAAAAAUUAGCGGAUGACUUGUGGCUGGGGGUGAAAGGCCAAUCAAACCGGGAGAUAGCUGGUUCUCCCCGAAAGCUAUUUAGGUAGCGCCUCGUGAAUUCAUCUCCGGGGGUAGAGCACUGUUUCGGCAAGGGGGUCAUCCCGACUUACCAACCCGAUGCAAACUGCGAAUACCGGAGAAUGUUAUCACGGGAGACACACGGCGGGUGCUAACGUCCGUCGUGAAGAGGGAAACAACCCAGACCGCCAGCUAAGGUCCCAAAGUCAUGGUUAAGUGGGAAACGAUGUGGGAAGGCCCAGACAGCCAGGAUGUUGGCUUAGAAGCAGCCAUCAUUUAAAGAAAGCGUAAUAGCUCACUGGUCGAGUCGGCCUGCGCGGAAGAUGUAACGGGGCUAAACCAUGCACCGAAGCUGCGGCAGCGACACUAUGUGUUGUUGGGUAGGGGAGCGUUCUGUAAGCCUGUGAAGGUGUGCUGUGAGGCAUGCUGGAGGUAUCAGAAGUGCGAAUGCUGACAUAAGUAACGAUAAAGCGGGUGAAAAGCCCGCUCGCCGGAAGACCAAGGGUUCCUGUCCAACGUUAAUCGGGGCAGGGUGAGUCGACCCCUAAGGCGAGGCCGAAAGGCGUAGUCGAUGGGAAACAGGUUAAUAUUCCUGUACUUGGUGUUACUGCGAAGGGGGGACGGAGAAGGCUAUGUUGGCCGGGCGACGGUUGUCCCGGUUUAAGCGUGUAGGCUGGUUUUCCAGGCAAAUCCGGAAAAUCAAGGCUGAGGCGUGAUGACGAGGCACUACGGUGCUGAAGCAACAAAUGCCCUGCUUCCAGGAAAAGCCUCUAAGCAUCAGGUAACAUCAAAUCGUACCCCAAACCGACACAGGUGGUCAGGUAGAGAAUACC